GUAGAGCAGAGGACUGAAAAUCCUCGUGUCACCAGUUCA
rnacentral:tRNA from 2 species